CGCCGAGGUGACCGGCCGGCGCGAAGCCCUCCUCCUGCAGCCUUCUCAGCGCAGGCAGAGAAAGCGCACAAUAGCUCUUGACACGCAAAUGGGUUAACACAAUAAAGGAGGCUCCGGCCGCUGCCGGGGGAGAGCCGCAAUUCCCGGCCCGCGGGAGGUAAUAAAGCGGCCCUUUUGUGCGCGCCCCUUCGUUCUCACCCCCGCCCCACGCCCAGAGGAAUCGCCGCCUGAUUGAAUUACGGUUCAUGAAUAUGAGCUGCUCCGCUUGCUUCCUCCGGUAAUGGGAAGCAGGAUCCCAACCUGGGUUGCAGUGUGGCAAGACAUCCUGGUGAUGCCGGAUGUCCCCUAUAGCCAAUGACCCCUGACUCUUGCAGGGACUGUGUCCAAUGAGGGGUGGUGGCAGUGCCUCCCCUGCACAGAUGAGGGUGGGAAGACCUGGGAACUCUGAAGCCAGCACAAUUGAGAGCCUAACCUCCGCAGUUUCCUGGCUGGGCACCCGCAUCUCAUCACUUCCUCGGUUUUACCCUCGGUUUCCUCAUCUGUAUAAUGGGCUGCAGCACGUGAGUCAUGGCAAAGAGUAACUGCGAUCCCAUAAAAUGCUGGCACGCUGGGUAAGCUGGCACUCCCUCCUAUGCGUCACCUGGUGCUGUUGCCAAGCCCAGGGAAGGGAACAGAAGGAAUCGCCCAGUUCUGACAGCCUUUCCCUCCGCCUUGGCUUUGGAAGUGUAAAUACUCCGUGGAGGACCUCCAACUGCCUGUGUUUGUGGAUCUCCGGCGCACUCGGAGUUUGUUUCUAAACUGGGAAGCUUCGAGAGGCAGCGCAAACAGCCUUUCUGCCCAUCUCUCCCACUUCUCCACCCAUCUGCUAUUGCUCCUCCGUCCUUGGAAGCCUGUGUGUUUAACGACACCAUUUCAGCUAGAAAUAUCAUCUCCCCGCAAAGCCCCCAAAAGCAGCUCCACUGAUAUUUAUUGACCUGCUCAUCUAGCUAGAAAGCCUAGUAGAACAGG